CAGGUUCGGAAUGAGAAAGCAAGAAGGUACUUGAGCAGCAUGAGAAAGAAAGACCCAGUUCCAUUUUCUCAUAAGAUUCACAAUGCAGAUCUUUUGGCACUUCAACUAUUGGAAAAGCUAUUAGCGUUUGACCCAAAGGACGUUCAACUGCAGAAGAGGCAUUGCGUGAUCCAUACUUCAAAGGUCUUGCCAGGGUUGAAAGAGAGCCAUCCUGUCAGCCAAUCAAAAAGGUGGAAUUUGACUUUGAGCACAAAAGAAUGUCAAAGGAAGAGAUAAGGGAGUUGAUAUUCUGUAGAAACUGGAAUAUCACCCGCAAUUGCUGAAUAGCUACAUGAACGACACAGAGAGGACAACCUUUCUCUACCCAAGUGAUGUUGAGCAGUUUUCUGAUCUUGAAGAAAUGUGAUGCUGAAUCCCACAAGACAGCAGCAGGCUGCUACCGCAUCUGGAAAAAAAAGGGUGAUGGUUUGUCCCAAAAAAAGAGGCCCCUCGAAGCUAUCCACUGCUAGCUGAAAUGCUUCUCGAUUCGUGAUCCUCUUUCUUAUUUGGUGAUGGGAUUCUGCUGGUCAACUGGAUUAGAUAAGUGGUUUCAUGUUUUUUUACUUUAAUUUGGAGCAAUCACUUGAAACAAUCUGUAUCUUCGGAUUAAUUAUGUCUGGUUGAACAGGUAUUGCUUUUCCUUCAAUCCAGGCAGUUUCACAA